rnacentral:rRNA from 1 species
GACGAACGCUGGCGGCGUGCCUAACACACGCAAGUCGAACGGACGAGGGGAGCUUGCUCCCUGAGUUAGUGGCGAACGGGUGAGUAACGCGUGAGGAACCUGCCUUUCAGUGGGGGACAACAGUUGGAAACGACUGCUAAUACCGCAUAAUGCAGCUAGACCGCAUGGUCUUACUGCCAAAGCUUUAUGUGCUGAAAGAUGGCCUCGCGUCUGAUUAGCUAGUUGGUGAGGUAACGGCCCACCAAGGCGACGAUCAGUAGCCGGACUGAGAGGUUGACCGGCCACAUUGGGACUGAGAUACGGCCCAGACUCCUACGGGAGGCAGCAGUGGGGAAUAUUGGGGCAAUGGGCGCAAGCCUGACCCAGCAACGCCGCGUGAAGGAAGAAGGCUUUCGGGUUGUAAACUUCUUUAUGAGGGACGAACACAAUGACGGUACCUUAUGAAUAAGCCACGGCUAACUACGUG